rnacentral:lncRNA from 1 species
GUUCCCAGAGCCCACUGAAGUCACCCUUCAGCCCUCAUCUUUGUGCUGCACCGCCUUUUGGGGAUACCAGUUUUAUGGGAUCAACGUUCCACUCUUUUGACCUCAUUUAACCGUAACCAUCUCCUGAAAGGCCCCCUUUCCAACACAGCCACAUGAGGGGUCACGGCUUCAACUUAUGAAUUUGGGGCAGGACACAAUUCAGUCUAUAGAAGUGACUGCAGAAUAUAAUGACGUGAUAGCCUGAUGGCCAUUGCUCCUCUAAUCGCUGGAACUGGUGAGUAACAGUGGUUAUUUGUUUGAGG